GAUGAACGCUGGCGGCGUGCCUAAUACAUGCAAGUCGAGCGAACAGACGAGGAGCUUGCUCCUCUGACGUUAGCGGCGGACGGGUGAGUAACACGUGGAUAACCUACCUAUAAGACUGGGAUAACUUCGGGAAACCGGAGCUAAUACCGGAUAAUAUAUUGAACCGCAUGGUUCAAUAGUGAAAGACGGUUUUGCUGUCACUUAUAGAUGGAUCCGCGCCGCAUUAGCUAGUUGGUAAGGUAACGGCUUACCAAGGCAACGAUGCGUAGCCGACCUGAGAGGGUCAUCGGCCACACUGGAACUGAGACACGGUCCAGACUCCUACGGGAGGCAGCAGUAGGGAAUCUUCCGCGAUGGGCGAAUGCCUGACGGAGCAACGCCGCGUGAGUGAUGAAGUUCUUCGGAUCGUAAAACUCUGUUAUUAGGGAAGAACAAAUGUGUAAUUAACUAUGCACGUCUUGACGGUACCUGAUCAGAAAGCCACGGCUAACUACGUG
rnacentral:rRNA from 1 species